rnacentral:misc_RNA from 1 species
AUUUAUUAGGAUAAGUAGUACUUUUAUUUUGAAUAUCUUGGCAAUAUGAGUUACUCUAAAUCUAUAGUAGCUUUGAAAUAUUAUGAUCAAUUAUAAAAUGCUAAUGUGUGUUGUCAUUCCAUAUCUUGUAGUUAAAUGAUCUAUGAAUUUCUUUUUUCUUCAAGAACAAAGAAUAGUUUGUAUUUGUGAGUGGCUUAUGUGGGG